CGUUAAUCGGAAUUACUGGGCGUAAAGCGUGCGCAGGCGGUUUUGCAAGACAGAUGUGAAAUCCCCGGGCUCAACCUGGGAACUGCAUUUGUGACUGCACGGCUAGAGUACGGCAGAGGGGGAUGGAAUUCCGCGUGUAGCAGUGAAAUGCGUAGAUAUGCGGAGGAACACCGAUGGCGAAGGCAGUCCCCUGGGCAUGUACUGACGCUCAUGCACGAAAGCGUGGGGAGCAAACAGG
rnacentral:rRNA from 1 species